rnacentral:rRNA from 1 species
GCAACGAGCGCAACCCUCGCCUCUAGUUGCCAGCAUUCGGUUGGGCACUCUAGAGGGACUUGCCGGCGACAAGUCGGAGGAAGGUGGGGAUGACGUCAAAUCAUCAUGCCCCUUAUGACCUGGGCUACACACGUGCUACAAUGGGCGGUACAAAGGGCUGCGAACCCGCGAGGGGGAGCGAAUCCCAAAAAGCCGCUCUCAGUUCGGAUUGCAGGCUGCAACUCGCCUGCAUGAAGCCGGAAUCGCUAGUAAUCGCGGAUCAGCAUGCCGCGGUCGAAUACGUUCCCGGCCUU